UACCAGCUCUCCGAGUUGUAGGGAUGAUUAUUGGGCUUAAAGCGUCCGUAGCCGGCUUGGCAAGUCUCCUGUUAAAUUCAGCGACCUAAUCGUUGAGCCGCGGGAGAUACUACUAGGCUAGGAGGCGGGAGAGGUCGACGGUACUUUCGGGGUAGGGGUGAAAUCCUAUAAUCCCGGGAGGACCACCAGUGGCGAAGGCUGUCGACUAGAACGCGCUCGACGGUGAGGGACGAAAGCUGGGGGAGCGAACCGGAUUAGAUACCCGGGUAGUCCCAGCUGUAAACGAUGCGGGCUAGGUGUUGGGGUGGCUACGGGCCACUUCAGUGCCGCAGGGAAGCCAUUAAGCCCGCCGCCUGGGGAGUACGGCCGCAAGGCUGAAACUUAAAGGAAUUGGCGGGGAGCACCACAAGGCGUGAAGCUUACGGUUC
rnacentral:rRNA from 1 species